AAAGUGUGCAUCAGCUGUUAAAUUGUUGAAAUUUCUGGUAAACAUUUACUUCGUUAAUUUGUUUAUUUGUUCAUUUGUGUAAUUAUUUUUUCUUUUUUACUGUAAUUUUAUUAAAGAUGGGACAGUUGAAGCCUGGCUAAUUGCAGUUUACUUGGUUUAUCAAGCAAUGAUAAAUUGUGGACAACUGGACAGUUCCGAUUGUAAAAGCAAAUAUUGAGCAAAGUUAUUAAGAUAACCAAGUAACCGGGUUUGACCAUGUUUUAACUUGAAUUGUAAAGUUACCGAGGUAAGGUAACCUUUGACCAAGAUCAAGAUGCGUUGAACAAGUUAUUGUUUUCGCCAUAAUUGUCUGCCUUUGGUGCCUUAUGGAUUUAAGUUAUGCUGGUGACAAAGGAGGAUCCAACAUUGUGCUCCAGGAUAAACACUCUCAAAUUAUUUUGAACUCUGGUGGUAAAAAGGGCGGUGAAAACAUCAUCAUCAAGGAUAACAAAUGCUGCGGACACAAGCAACAUGUUAAAUAUGUCUACAUACCUGUCUACACUCACCAUGCUGAACACCAUGGCUGGGGUCACGAACAACAACACUGGGGAGGUUGGCAUAAGUGAAGGGUCACUGACUGAUUAGCCCAACUGUCAUUCAGUAACUCUAGAAACAACCAAAUUGUCAAUUCGCCAAUCCAUUUCUACCUUAUUCAUCAUCAUCCUGCCCAAAGGACCCUCUAAAUUCAUUUAUCCAGCCACAAUGUAUCGAUCAAUUGAUGGAAAGUUCUUUUUUGCUUCAUAUUUCAUUUUUUCUCAAAAUAAUUCUCACUCAUUUAAUUGUUAAUCAGUUGAUCUGAAAAAUGAUUAAAUGUAGCCUUGUAUAGAUGAAAAGAAAACUUACUUUCAACUCUGUCAUUGAUAUGAUACAAUAAAUUGAAUAAUUAUUUAU